UACGUAGGGUGCGAGCGUUAAUCGGAAUUACUGGGCGUAAAGCGUGCGCAGGCGGUGAGCUGUGUCCGAUGUGAAAGCCCCGGGCUUAACCUGGGAAUGGCAUUGGAAACUGGCUCGCUGGAGUGUGGCAGAGGGGGGUGGAAUUCCGCGUGUAGCAGUGAAAUGCGUAGAGAUGCGGAGGAACACCGAUGGCGAAGGCAGCCCCUGGGCUAACACUGACGCCUCAGGCACGAAAGCGUGGGGAGCAAACAGG
rnacentral:rRNA from 1 species